GAUGAACGCUGGCGGCGUGCCUAAUACAUGCAAGUCGAGCGAACAGAUGAGGAGCUUGCUCCUCUGACGUUAGCGGCGGACGGGUGAGUAACACGUGGAUAACCUACCUAUAAGACUGGGAUAACUUCGGGAAACCGGAGCUAAUACCGGAUAAUAUAUUGAACCGCAUGGUUCAAUAGUGAAAGACGGUUUUGCUGUCACUUAUAGAUGGAUCCGCGCCGCAUUAGCUAGUUGGUAAGGUAACGGCUUACCAAGGCAACGAUGCGUAGCCGACCUGAGAGGGUGAUAGACCACACAGGAACUUAGACACGGUCCAGACUCCUACGGGAGGCAGCAGUAGGGAAUCUUCCGCAAUGGGCGAAAGCCUGACGGAGCAACGCCGCGUGAGUGAUGAAGGUCUUCGGAUCGUAAAACUCUGUUAUUAGGGAAGAACAAAUGUGUAAGUAACUAUGCACGUCUUGACGGUACCUAAUCAGAAAGCCACGGCUAACUACGUG
rnacentral:rRNA from 1 species